UACGUAGGGGGCAAGCGUUGUCCGGAUUUAUUGGGCGUAAAGAGCGUGUAGGCGGCCAGGUAGGUCUGCUGUGAAAACUCGAGGCUUAACCUCGAGCUGUCGGCGGAAACCAUCUGGCUAGAGUCCGGAAGAGGAGAAUGGAAUUCCCGGUGUAGCGGUGAAAUGCGCAGAUAUCGGGAAGAACACCCGUGGCGAAGGCGGUUCUC
rnacentral:rRNA from 1 species